UGGGGAAUUUUGGACAAUGGGCGAAAGCCUGAUCCAGCAAUGCCGCGUGUGUGAAGAAGGCCUUCGGGUUGUAAAGCACUUUUGUCCGGAAAGAAAUCCUCGGCUCUAAUACAGUCGGGGGAUGACGGUACCGGAAGAAUAAGCACCGGCUAACUACGUGCCAGCAGCCGCGGUAAUACGUAGGGUGCAAGCGUUAAUCGGAAUUACUGGGCGUAAAGCGUGCGCAGGCGGUUUGCUAAGACCGAUGUGAAAUCCCCGGGCUCAACCUGGGAACUGCAUUGGUGACUGGCAGGCUAGAGUAUGGCAGAGGGGGGUAGAAUUCCACGUGUAGCAGUGAAAUGCGUAGAGAUGUGGAGGAAUACCGAUGGCGAAGGCAGCCCCCUGGGGCCAAUACUGACGCUCAUGCACGAAAGCGUGGGGAGCAAACAGGAUUAGAUACCCUGGUAGUCCACGCCCUAAACGAUGUCAACUAGUUGUUGGGGAUUCAUUUCCUUAGUAACGUAGCUAACGCGUGAAGUUGACCGCCUGGGGAGUACGGUCGCAAGAUUAAAACUCAAAGGAAUUGACGGGGUCAUAGCUGUUUCCU
rnacentral:rRNA from 1 species